ensembl:lncRNA
GCACGGGACAAGGAGUGGCUUUAACCAGCUACAACAUACAGUGUACAGUGUGCUUGUUGGUGAUUGUUUUAUUAUGUGCUCUACAGCCAUGAAAACUAUGGUGGUAAAUAUUAAAUCAUGUCUUAUCACUGUACAUAAUAAAUGCACAUUUAUACAGUUCUAGUAACAUCAGAACAAAAGCAUCGAUCCUUCUCGCUGGAGGCAUUUCACUUCCUCAUCUUCCACUACUUAAAUCCUUAUUUAACCUGCAGCACGUACAUAGUAUGUGAUGGUGUAAGAACAAAGUCUAUGAUUAUUGUAUGCGUAUCUUAAUAAAUGCACUGGGUGGUAAAAUGAUCGAAUAUUUAGAAGUUUUCGACAAGGCUCCGAGUUCUUCAUCUUUUUCCUCAACAACUGCGACACCACUAAGAAACAAGAGGCCGACUACAUCAGUUAGUUACACGAGCACUCCAGUUCACUAUUUUGACACAGAUCUGAGACGAGAUAUGGCUUCGAUCGGCCAACGUGCCUCAGUCAACAUGAACGUGGCAGAAGCUCAAAUCCCCACAAAAAGGGCAAGAAUGGACCAAGAUCCAGUGAGCAAGAAGACGAAUGAACGGAUAAAUGGA